rnacentral:snoRNA from 1 species
CAGAUCAAUGAUGAGUGUCCUUGGAGGAGUCUGAACUAAUACAUUUGAUUAAGCCCUCUGUGUUACUCUCAGGUCCGA